rnacentral:rRNA from 1 species
AUGGCGGCCGAGACGUUCCUCUUCACGUCCGAGUCUGUGAAUGAGGGCCAUCCCGACAAGCUCUGUGACCAGGUCUCCGACGCCGUCUUGGAUGCCUGCUUGGCGCAGGAUGCCGACAGCAAGGUUGCCUGCGAGACUGUCACCAAGACCAACAUGGUCAUGGUCUUGGGCGAGAUCACCACUAAGGCCACCGUCGACUACGAGAAGAUCGUGCGCGACACCUGCCGCAACAUCGGCUUCAUCUCUGAUGAUGUUGGUCUCGACGCCGACCGUUGCAAGGUGCUCGUCAACAUCGAGCAGCAGUCCCCUGACAUUGCCCAGGGUGUUCACGGACACUUCACCAAGCGUCCCGAAGAGGUCGGCGCCGGUGACCAGGGCAUCAUGUUCGGCUAUGCCACCGACGAGACCCCUGAGCUGAUGCCCCUCAGCCACGUGCUUGCCACCAAGCUCGGAGCUCGCCUCACCGAGGUCCGCAAGAAUGGCACCUGCGCCUGGGUUAGGCCUGACGGAAAGACCCAGGUCACUGUCGAGUACCUAAACGAGGAUGGUGCCAUGGUACCUGUUCGUGUGCACACCGUCCUCAUCUCCACCCAGCACGACGAGACCGUCACCAACGACGAGAUUGCCGCGGACCUCAAGGAGCAUGUCAUCAAGCCGGUGAUCCCCGCGAAGUACCUCGAUGAGAACACCAUCUUCCACCUGAACCCGUCUGGCCGCUUCGUCAUCGGCGGCCCUCACGGUGACGCCGGUCUCACCGGCCGCAAGAUCAUCAUCGACACCUAUGGUGGCUGGGGAGCCCACGGCGGCGGUGCCUUCUCUGGCAAGGACCCAACCAAGGUCGACCGCAGUGGCGCCUACAUUGCCAGGCAGGCCGCCAAGAGCAUCAUCGCCAGCGGCCUCGCACGCCGCUGCAUUGUGCAGAUCUCAUACGCCAUCGGUGUGCCUGAGCCUUUGUCUGUGUUCGUCGACUCCUACGGCACCGGCAAGAUCCCCGACAGGGAGAUCCUCAAGCUCGUGAAGGAGAACUUUGACUUCAGGCCCGGGAUGAUCAGCAUCAACCUGGACUUGAAGAAAGGUGGAAACAGGUUCAUCAAGACCGCUGCUUACGGUCACUUUGGCCGCGAUGAUGCCGACUUCACCUGGGAGGUGGUGAAGCCCCUCAAGUUCGACAAGGCAUCUGCCUAA